rnacentral:rRNA from 1 species
UGAGCAAUCUGCCCUUCUCAUCGGAAUAAGCGUUGGAAACGACGUCUAAUGCCGAAUACGACCUCCUUUCGCAUGAUCGGAGGUGGAAAGUUCCGGCGGAGAAGGAUGAGCUCGCGGCCUAUCAGCUAGUUGGUGUGGGUAAUGGCCCACCAAGGCGACGACGGGUAGCCGGCCUGAGAGGGUGACCGGCCACACUGGGACUGAGACACGGCCCAGACCUCCUACGGGAGGNAGCG